rnacentral:rRNA from 1 species
AACGUAGGACACAAGCGUUAUCCGGAGUUACUGGGCGUAAAGGGCGUGUAGGCGGACGUGUAAGUCUAUUCUGAAAGCUCCUGGCUAAACUGGGAGAGGCGAAUGGAGACUGCAUAUCUAGAGUGAGGAAGAGGAAAGUGGAAUUCCGCGUGUAGUGGUGAAAUGCGUAGAGAUGCGGAGGAACACCAGUGGCGAAAGCGACUUUCUGGUCCUUAACGUGACG